ACUGUCUCUAUUAGAUUUAUUAUUAAAAUUAACUUUUAAGUUAAAAGGCUUAAAUUUUACUUAAAGACGAGAAGACCCUAUAGAGUUUUAUAGCCUAGUUGUAGGGAGUUUUUGGUUAUUUUAUUUCUUUAUGAUGAAUGUUAUUUGGUUGGGGUGACUUAAAGAUUUAGAAAACUCUUUAAAUUUGAAGUUAUUGAUUUGUAAAUAAUUAAUCUAAUUUUUUUAAAUUUAAAAUAAAUUACCUUAGGGAUAACAGCGUAAUUUUUCUUUAGAGUUCUUAUUGAAAGGAAAGU
rnacentral:rRNA from 1 species